GUGACUAUGGUGUAGCGGUAGCACAGAAGCCUGUGGAGCUUUUAGUUCGGGUUCAACUCCCGAUAGUCACCCCA
rnacentral:tRNA from 3 species